UGGGCUGUAGCUCAGUGGUAGAGCACUUACCUUGCACAUGUGAGGUACUAGGUUUGAGCCUUAGCACCACAU
rnacentral:tRNA from 1 species